rfam:Ovis aries breed Texel chromosome 1, whole genome shotgun sequence.
UCCCUGGUAGCUGAGACGGGAAAGCAUCUGUCUACAAUGCAGGAGACCAGGGUUCAGUCCCUGGUUUGGGAA